rnacentral:rRNA from 1 species
AGUUCAAGAGUACGUGAAACCGUUUAGGGGUAAACCUGAGAAACCCGAAAGGUCGAAGGGAGAAAUUCAUUCGCGUUUCGACGUAGGCGUGGGACGGGGCCCUCGAGCGACGGAAUUCUCGUUCUUCGGAACGCGUUUCCGCGCCCUCCGUCCUUCGAACCGACGGCGAACGCGUGCACUUUUCUCCUGGUAGGACGUCGCGAUCCGUCGGGUGUCGGUCUACGACUGCGCGGUGGAGCCCGUCCGUCGCGUCUCUAGUACGUGCGGACGGACCCGCUCGUUCCGGCCGACUCGCUCGACGGUAUGCCCUAAGGUCGGAGGCCGCUCGAUUUUUUUCAAGGAGCGUUCGACUCGUCGCAAGCGCGCCACGUGCGUCGGCACGCGGACCCGGUGCCGCGUCCGAUCUCUGGUGACUGUUGGCGACGAUGUUCUCGGACAGACCUCUAUUUUUACGAAGACCGAUCGGCGACGCUAUAGCUUUGGGUACUUUCAGGACCCGUCUUGAAACACGGACCAAGGAGUCUAGCAUGUACGCGAGUCAUUGGGAAUCGCUAAACCUAAAGGCGCAAUGAAAGUGAAGGUCUUCCUCGCGAAGACCGAGGGAAGACGGGCGGGGUCGUCGAAAGAGACACCGUCCCGCAUUCCCGGGGCGUCUCGCGUUCACAUCGCGUGACGAGGCGCACCAAGAGCGUACACGCUGGGACCCGAAAGAUGGUGAACUAUGCCUGGUCAGGACGAAGUCAGGGGAAACCCUGAUGGAGGUCCGUAGCGAUU